GCGCCCGUAGCUCAAUUGGAUAGAGCAGCGGACUUCUAAUCCGCAGGUUGCAGGUUCGAGUCCUGCCGGGCGCGCCC
rnacentral:tRNA from 1 species